GUGAGUAGUUCAGAGUUUGAUCCUGGCUCAGGAUGAACGCUGGCGGCAUGCCUAAUACAUGCAAGUCGAGCGAGAGCAGCAAUACUCUAGCGGCGAACGGGUGAGUAACACGUAGGUAAUCUACCCUUAAGACGAGGAUACCAUCGGGAAACUGAUGUUAAGACUGGAUAGGACAAUAUAUAGGGAAACCUAAAUUGUUUAAAGGAGAAAUCCACUUAAGGAGGAGCCUGCGGCGCAUUAGCUAGUUGGUGGGGUAAAGGCCUACCAAGGCGAUGAUGCGUAGCCGGUCUGAGAGGACGAACGGCCACAUUGGGACUGAGACACGGCCCAA
rnacentral:rRNA from 1 species